UUUUUGAGCUAUUUAUACAAAAUUUUUAGAGCUAUUUAUAUUUUUAAUUUAAAGUUUGUGAAAUAUGUGGCUUCGUUCUUGGUUCCAAGAACAAGGACUAUUUUACUCUUUUUAUAUAUUCUUUAUAUAUUUCGCAUCACUUUGUCAUCUUUUUAUGUCCAAGAUUAUUAAAAAGAUAAUCUAAAAAAUACAUCAUUGGUUUAGCAAAUUGAUAAUAGUAGCAAAACAUCUUCCAUAUACAGACAAUACUUAAAUUAGGUUUAUGGACACUUGAACAACAAUGACACAGAUUUGAUCUAAAAGAAGUAUACAAGAUAAUGUAUGAGUUUUAUAGACUUUUCUAUAAGAUAUUCAUUGAAUUAGUGAAAAACAAAAGAAGUAAUGGCAAUCUAUUUGGUUUGGUAAAGCACAAUUUCCUUAACUCAAAUCAGAUAACAUUUUUUCUUGGAUCAUGGAUCUUAUUUUAUAUCAAUACUAUCUCAGUCAUUUUUCAGAAUUUUUUUUAAAGCAUGACUCAACAAGUUGAAUAUUAAAAAAAUGGGUUUUGUCAUAGACUAACAUCUACAUAGUUUGUUAUGUCAUAAUGACAUUAUUACAUAACUAAUUAGUAACUAAUAAAAAAAUAAAUAAUCUUUUUAUAUAUAUAUGUUGCUAGUUAUAUUUUAUUUUCAACUUUUAAAAUUAUAUUAUUAGCCAUGCUUUAUAUAUGCAACAUGGGGUUUGGAUUUUGGUUUUACAGAGCCUGGAAUUCGGUAUACUAGUGACACAAUGAUUUGAAUUUGCAGCCUUUUACUUUAGCUCUGCCACAUGUAUCACGUGUAUACGUGUAUUAGCUUCUAAAACUGAACAUCAUUUAAAUGAUUAGUUUUACUUAUUUGCUCUCCUCAUCACAAAGUUUAUUGAUGAAUUUUAAUUAUUAAUCAAAAUCACUUAAGUAAAAAAGCCAAAGCUACUAUGAAUUAUUCUGGAUUAUUAUAUUAUUUUGUUUAGCUCUGGUUCAGAUUUGUCUGAUUAUGAAGACACUACUGAUACAUUAUAUAAAGUAGAAGAAGACACUACAACUUUGAAAGACAACACCAAGCCCUGCAUUUGCAAUUUAGUUGAGGAAGCUACUCAAUUUCUUCAUAGUUAUGAAAUCAUUAAUUCUGUUAGGUUUGCUGCCCUUUACACUCCAUAGAGCUUUGGAAGUUCAGCAAAAAUACUGUUGAUAAAUGAGUUUAAUUUAGUAAAUUUACAUGACUGGAAUUUACUUUUUUGACCAUUAAUUGACAUUGGGUUGAAACAUUAAAACAAACAUCACCACAAACAAAGUAAGUAGUGAUAAAACCACACAUAAAAAAAUUUAAUCUGAGUUAAGGUAAGAAGCAGGGUGGCCACGCCUCCUUAAAUUCCUAAAGUAUCCUAAUAUUUGAAAAACAUCCUAAAAAGACCUAAUUUCUCCUAAAGUAUAGGUGAUUUUCUCAAAUACUCCUAAAUUCUCCUAAUUUAUUUGUCCUGAGUAUAAUGAAAUAACCAUUAUCAGCCAGUCAACAAUAAAGUUAAUGAAAUGGAUCAGACUUGUAGUUAGUGCUGCUGUUUACUGAUAGAAAAUAAUUUACUCAAAUUUUUUUUUAUAUUUUUGUAAUAUUUUAAUAAUUUAAAAAUUUUAUUCUAAUAAAAUUUAAGCUUUUUUUUCUUAUUUCUGCCUAAGUUCUGACCAUCAAAAUUAUUUUUAUUAAAACUUUAUUUUAAUUAAAUUGACCUAAAAUAAUUUUGUACAUUCAGAAUAGAAAAUGUCAGUCAAAUAUAAAGCUAAAUUUUAAAAGCGGUUAAAAGACAAUAAAUAUAAAAAAUUUUAUUUGGUUAAGUAUUAUGUUAUUAUGUUAGGUAUGUUUGAUGAUUGUUUUAUUUCCGAAUAUCUUUCUUUUAACUACUCCUUUUUGCCAUAAGUUUUUUUCUAAAAAUAUAAUUUUGCAAUACCUUUUUUUUGUUAACUUUUUCAAUUAUCACUUAUCAUAAAGUUGAGAAAGCCACCAGCCAAAUGCUAAAUUUAUAAAAUAAAUUAUUCUGCAUUGUUUAACAUUUGUUAAAUUUUUUUUUUGCAAAUUAUAUACUGAAUUUUUUAAAUAUAACCUAGAUGAUUGCUGUAUGCUUAAAAGUUUUAUAUGUUGCAGAUCUGGAUGCAAACACAUUGAAAUUACAUGUUAAUGAAAAAAACAUGUAUUUUUGAAUGUUAUAUGUUAUAAAGAUAUAAACAAUAUAUGUCUGUGAGUCAUAAAAGAAAUACAAACAGUCAUUGAGCCACCAGUUGAGCCAAAGGUGUACACUGUGUAUACUUAAGUUAUAUCUGUUUAACAGUAUAAAUUUAACAUGGUAUAUUUAACAUGUUAAUAUGUUAAUAUAUUCAAAGGACACUUUUUUCUUAUUUCUGUCAGUGGCAAUUCUUGGAAUUAAAAUUAUUUUUAUUCACAAUUUUAUCUUACCAAGUCAACCCAAAUAUUCUUGUAUUUUUAGAUAAGAAAAUGUCAGUCAAAUAUAAACUAAAUUUCAAAAUCAUUGGUUAAAUGACAAUAAUUAUAAACAAUGGGUACAAAAAUGUUCCAACGAUUUGUAUUCAGUAAAAUGUAAGAUAUGUUUGAAAGUCAUUUCUGUUGCAGGUCUGGGUACAAAGGCAUUGGAAAAACAUGCUAAUGGUAACAAACACAAACAAUGUAUGCCUGUCUGUGAUAAAUAUGCAUUGAAAACUGUUGUAGAACCACCAACUAGCCCAAAAGCGGCACUGUGUCCACAGCAGUUAGCAAAGAAAGCAGAAAUAUUGUGGGCAGUUGAAGUUUUGCUUUCAAAACAUUCUUUUUGAUCAAGUGCAAAUAAAUCUGAAUUAUUUACUGCAAUGUUUAGUGAUAGUCAAAUAGUUAAACAAUUUUAUUGUGGGAAAACAAAGUGCACUUAUCUUGUGUGCUUUGGAAUUGCACCAUAUUUUAAGGAAAUUUUGUGAGAGACAUUAUCAGAGCUUAAUCAGUUUGUUUGCCAAUUUGAUCAAUCUUACUACCAAGUUGACAAGAAAAGUCAGAUAGAUUUGCAUGUUAGAUAUUGGGACUCCUCAUUAGAGAUGAUAAAAACAAGAUAUUUCAACUCUAAAUUCUUGGGAAAAGCUGCUGCUGUCGAUAUUAUGCCAAAUUUCCGUAAAUGUAUGAGUGGUUUAGAAAAAGAUAAAAUGCUCCAUGUUUCCAUGGAUGGUCCAAAUGUUAACAUGUCUUUCCUCUCUAAUUUGAAUGCUAAGAGAAGUGAAUGUGAACUCAGUCAGUUAUUAUCAAUUGGAUCAUGUGGCCUUCACACAAUGCACUGUUCAUUCAAGAAUGGUCCAAAUGCUUCAAGAGGGAAAUUGAAUAAAUUGCUAUCUUCAUUGUUUAAGAUAUUCCAUGUGAGCCCUUCUUGUCGUGCUGAUUUCGUACUGACUCAAGCUCAGUCUUCAGAUUAUGCUCUACAGUUUUGUAGCCAUCGUUGGAUUGAAAAUGAGAAAGUAGCAAAGAAAACUAUGGAAAUGGCCCAAGAUUAUUGUGAUUAUUGACAUUUGAAAAAAUUUAAAAAAAAGCAAGCAACCUGGUCAAUGUAAGCCUGUGCAAAAUACUAGUUAUGAAUACCUUUCUUUAUGGUAUAAAGAUGUGUUAGUCCCUAUAAAGUUGCAAUUUUUUAAGGAAACUGCAAAACUGCUAAAUUCUUCUUUGUUAGUUUUCCAAACUGACAAUCCUAUGACAUUUUUUCUUGUGGAAACACUUGAGAAUUUACUGAGGCAAUUUUUAUUAAAAUUUAUUUUAAUAUUAAAUUUUAUCAAAAUUUAUCAAAAAUGAAGUUUUGUUUGAAGCAUCCACAAUUUUUAAAUUAUUAAAACUUGAUAUCAGUGGUGUCAAAAAUCAAGUGUUGGUUGCAAAUAUUGAUCUUGGGUUUGGAAUAAAAUAUGAGUUGCAGCAACUGAAAUCUAGAAAAAAAGUUACUAAUGCACAAAUCUAUAAUUUUAAAACAGAAGUUCAACAGUUUUUAGUGGAAUAAACAGUUUUUAGUAUAAACGACCAAUUUCUGAGUAAUAAUAUCCUAACUGGUUGCACAGAGAAUUGUACAUGACCACAUGUGUAGUUAAAAUAUAAAAUCAUCCCUAUUGGCUAUGACAACUAAACUUAUGGGACAUGUUAAGGAUGCACGAAAACUAUACUUUAGCAGUCAGAAAUAGAAGUUCUUGAAUGCUUUAAAAACUGACCGUGAUGCUAAACUGAAAAAUUUUAUUAAAGAGAUUACUAGUUUCAUCUUAAUAAAUAGAUUACUAUAAUGAACAAGUUCACACCGUUGAUGGUACCAUACUUUAGCUCAGAUAUGAUGCAGAUGAGUAUGCAUUGCAAGCAAAAAAGCAGAAAUCAUUGAUAAAAAUAAAGUCAACAAUUCUAAAAUCUAAUGCGCUAAAGAGAGUUGCCUCUGAAAAGCAGGACUUACUAGAAAAAAUUACAGCAGCAAAAAAAGUGACAAGAAAGCUGAGAUUUAGAUUUAGAUGUUUAAAUUUUUCAUUCUUUUUAUUUUUCUGAUUUGAUUAUUUCUUUUUAUGACUGGAUAAUAUAUAACAUAAAGUUUAGUUUGGCUGUGUAUUUUAAUGAUUUUUGAUUAUUUAUUGUUUGUUACUUAGUCAUAAAGUCAGCUUAUUAUUCCCAGUAAUUAUCGCAAGAAGCAACAGUCAAAAGAAAUAAAAGAUUCGUUGCUACAAAAAAAGGAUGUGGUAGUUAGUCGAAAAAUUAUUGUUGAGAUAGGCUGUUUAAAUGAUCACAAAAAUUACCCUCUUGGCAAGGUAUUAAUGCUAGAGUUGUCUUAAAUAGUCUUAUUUUAACUAUAACCAAUAGUUUUUGUAUAUUCAUAAAGUGCCUACACAAAACGGUGACGACGUUAAAUCCUAAAUUGGGGCAUGUGGACUUUUUAGACGUUGUAAAGGCCACUCGCCUAUGAAAAAAGAAGCUCUGAUAUAAAACUCUGAUAUUUGUUUUAAUUAGUUUUUAUAACAGUAAAUCUUUUUAACAUUUCUUAGAUUGAGCUACUCUCCCAAAAAAUUGAUCCACGCUUAUCAGUAAAAAAUUCUGAAUACAAAAAAGAUGGUGUUUCUAAUGUUCGUGAGAUGAGAAGACUUACUGUCAUUGAAAUGUUUGGAAAGAAAAAUCUUCCUUCUAGAACCAACAGAAGAUUUUAUCCAAGAACUGACAUAAUUCGUUCGUACAUGGUUAAAGAGCGUCUAAAGCAAAGAUACUCGAACAUCGACCAGGAUUGCUCAGAAAUCAAAAUAAAAAAAUGGAAAGAAGCUGACUCAUCUGUAAAUAUCUAUUUUCGACCUAAAGAACGGGGUAACAGUGCUGAGCUCUUGUUUGUAUACUAAACAUUUUGGCAAAAAAAACUGUUAAAAAAAAUAUGGUAAUGAGAUGUUGUUUUUGGAUGCAACAUACAAAACGACACGAUAUUCUUUACCUUUUUUUUUUUUGGUUGUCAAAACAAAUGUGGAUUAUGAAAUUGUAGCAACCUUUGUAAGCGAAAAUGAAACUUUUGAAUCGAUAUCUGAAGCACUUGUUAUCUUAAAGUCUUGGAAUGAAAAUUUGCAACCUUUUUAUUGCAUGACCGAUUAUUGUAAUGCUGAGAUACGUGCUCUCGAAACUAUUUUUAUUGGAUGUAAGGUAUUUAUCUGUGACUUUCACAGAGAACAGUCUUGGGACCGUUGCACAGUGGGCGGAAUUUCAAAAAACCUGACCAAAAGUCAAAAAAUGAUUAUAAUUAAUGGAAAAUUUCUGUAUAGCAUUUUUUUGAAUCCCCAACUUUGAGUUUUACAUAAGUGUACCAAAAUUCAAUAAUGGCAGAUCCAAAAUGGCGGUGUUUUAAAAACAUUAAUCAUUAGAAAUGCCUUUGGGCCUUCGUGUUUAACCAAUUAGUUUUAAUUCGACAUUUAAGUUCAAUAGACUAAUGUAUUAUUUACAUUACAUAUAUAAACAUUAUAUAUAAUACUGAUAUAUAAUGUAUUAUGACCGUAUUAUUAUGCCGCAAUGUUAAGAAAAAUAAAUUGAAAAAUUCAUUAUUUAUUCUACUUAUUUAUUUGUUCAAGGAA
rnacentral:lncRNA from 1 species